CAAAUCCCAAAGGAAUCAUUGAGUGAAGCCAUCAAGUUGGUGAUGGACAAGGGUAUGAAACAGCUAACAUGUUGAGGGCAAACCCUGCGAAGCUGAAGCAUACACUUUCCAGAAGAGAUCUUCAAGAAGAAUAUAUCAACAAUUUCAUCCAAGCUCUCCAAUGAUCUUGUUCAAAAAUAAGGAAAGGAAAGAAAGAAAGGGAGAAAGGAAAG